UACGUAGGGUGCGAGCGUUAAUCGGAAUUACUGGGCGUAAAGCGUGCGCAGGCGGUUUCACAAGCUCGAUGUGAAAGCCCCGGGCUUAACCUGGGAAUGGCAUUGAGGACUGUGGAGCUCGAGUGCGGCAGAGGGAGGUGGAAUUCCUGGUGUAGCGGUGAAAUGCGCAGAUAUCAGGAGGAACACCGGUGGCGAAGGCGGGUCUCUGGGCCGAUACUGACGCUGAGGAGCGAAAGCGUGGGGAGCGAACAGG
rnacentral:rRNA from 1 species